rnacentral:rRNA from 1 species
ACGCUCGACACCUACUGGAGGCAGCAGUAGGGAAUUUUCGGCAAUGGGGGGGAACCCUGACCGAGCAACGCCGCGUGAAGGAAGAAGGAAUUCGUUCUGUAAACUUCUGUUAUAAAGGAAGAACGGCGGAUAUAGGGAAUGAUAUCCGAGUGACGGUACUUUAUGAGAAAGCCACGGCUAACUACGUGCCGGCAGCCGCGGUAAUCUGAGCGGGCUGGCAAGGC